rnacentral:miRNA from 1 species
CAAAGUACUUUUAAAAAUUAUAUAUAUAUGUGUGUGUGUGUGUGUGUGUGUGUGUGUGUGUGUGUAUACAUACAUACAUACAUACAUACAUACAUAUAUACAUAUAUACAC